rnacentral:rRNA from 1 species
CCCAGUUUCCACAUCACCUUGAAUAUACACCGCUCUUAUCUGAUUUUGGAAGCUAAGCAAGUUCAGACUUUUUUAGUCCUUUGAUGGGGGAACCACCAGAGAUUUCCAGAUGGCGUAAGGA